GUAAUCAGUUGCUAAUAUUUUUAUUUGGAUCUGUUCUUGCAGUGUAGGCGAGAUCGAUGAACGCUUGGGAGAAGUGUGGCAUACAUAUAUGUUGCAGGGUUUGGAGCGUGUGGUAGCAUAUGUAUGUAAUGCGUGACAUGUCUCAUGGAUCUUGUGAUGUAUAAUAAUUAGCCGGCUGCACUGCACUGCACGGUGCUUGUAAUAAUAACGUUAAUGAAUCAUGUUGGUAUUGAUGCAUCUCCGUUGGUAAUUUGGUAUACCCAUGUUUUCUAAGCUUUUUGUGCAUGUGGCGUCUCUGUUCCAUCUCUGGAAGCAGUUUUGUUUUUGUUUUUGACAAACUGGAUGCGGUUAGAAACAUGUUGAAUGAUUAUUGGUGUUCUGUUUUCCUCGUCCUUUUCAGUUUCAGAAGUUGUGUGGUGCUCGGUUUUUCUUUCAGAGUUUUGCUUGUUUGCAGCUUUCCUCUGUUUUUCAUUCUCGGAUUUGUGCCCGGUAUUAAUUCCAGGAAUGCAAAAAUCGAAGUUGGAGUAGUAUAUUUACUUAUAUAAUACUAUAUCGCAUCGCAUUUGGGAUCAUCACCCAUGUUAUCAUCAAAAAGAUGAUUCAGCACCCAUGCUAGAUAAGCUAUACUAAUUAAAUUUAGCCCCGUGUCAUUGCGGGCUAAUAAGGUGCUAGCUGAAGGUGCCAGGUAUCGCUGCUGCUCUCCGAAACUAAAUAUUCAUGAUACUGGAUCUCUCUCGCGCAGCACGUCAUCCUCUCCUAACUGAACUUCUUCCAUCAUAUAGUCUUGAACUGUUUUACGCAUAAGAAAAUGGUUAAUUCCCGAGGCCUCUCAAUUCUAGAUAGUGCAAUGCAUUGAGCAUCAGAUGAGAAGACGAUAGAAAAUGAGAGAGUAUCCCAUUUGAUUCGGAGCUAGCUAGUCCAUUUGAGGUAGAUCGAGGAGAGGGAGAGGAUAUUAUAUACACACACACACACGGGAAGAUGACCGGUGUAGAAUUGAACGUGGUGGGUGGAAUUCUGAUCUCACACCUACUAUCUCUAUUCCAAAAUAUAAGACGUUUAGCCUACCAAAACGUCUUAUAUUUUGGAAUGGAGGUAGUAUCAUAGCUGCAUAACCCAUGUGAGUUUUCAAAAGGCAACAACUCAAGAGAAAUGAAAGAUAGCAACGGUUGGGACCAGAGAUGUCACGUGAUUUGAUGACCUCGGUUUUCUAAAAGAUGUACGUAGUCACGGGAAGAGAUAGGAAAUAUGAGAUGAGGGCUAUUUUUAAAGAACCUCUAGACUUAGUACCACACUAGAUGGAAUAGGAUACACAACUAAAUCUGAAUCCUCUAUUGAUGGAGGGUUAGGCUCUGUUUUUGCUGAAAAAGGAUCUUGGGAUAAUUCAGCGCUUACUAUGCUUGCCACAUGGUGAUCGGGGCUAAUUACCGUCUAAUCAAAAGCAUGUAGGUGAAACAAAGUAUUUAACUAUAGUGUAUAAUUUCAAAAGUUAGCGUCGACAUUUCCUGUAGUGGGAAUAUACAUGAUCGAUAGUCAUAGAAGAUCGAGUGGCUUCACCGUAGGAGAUCAUCUCCACUCCACUUCCCCAUCUCACUCGCAUGCCGCCUCGUUCCCAUCCAUGUCCUCGCCGCCACGUUAAUGCCUUUGCAACUCAUGCAUUACACAACCUCUAGUUCUUUCUUUAGGAUCAUGUAUUUCUAGUGUAUUGGUUCAUCUCGAAUAACACUUCAUCAUUGUAGAGAGGGCCACCAACAUCUGAAGUGCCAUCGUUUACUGUCACUUAUACAACCGAAAAAGGACGCGACAUUAUUGUUCAUGGUUAGGCAGGGGCAGAAUUAGGAUUUUNNNNNNNNNNNNNNNNNNNNNNNNNNNNNNNNNNNNNNNNNNNNNNNNNNNNNNNNNNNNNNNNNNNNNNNNNNNNNNNNNNNNNNNNNNNNNNNNNNNNNNNNNNNNNNNNNNNNNNNNNNNNNNNNNNNNNNNNNNNNNNNNNNNNNNNNNNNNNNNNNNNNNNNNNNNNNNNNNNNNNNNNNNNNNNNNNNNNNNNNNNNNNNNNNNNNNNNNNNNNNNNNNNNNNNNNNNNNNNNNNNNNNNNNNNNNNNNNNNNNNNNNNNNNNNNNNNNNNNNNNNNNNNNNNNNNNNNNNNNNNNNNGGAGGAGCAACAAAAGUGGCGCCACGCUUGUUGUAGGCUGCUAUCGGCAGAGUAGGUCGCUCUCGCCAACUAGAUGCCUCGGCUUCUCGCCGAUGACGCAAAUGUAAAUUGGCACUUGGGGAUGGGUUGUAUAUUGCAGCACAUUGUAGUUCUCAGGUGCAGCACAACUCAAAGAAAACUGCUACAUUUCGGCACACAUAAGUAUGGAGUUAGUUCCCGAGGCUUCUCAUUUCUAAUUACUGUAAAGUAAUUGAGCUUCAGAUGAGGGGAUCGUAGUGGAAGAGAGAUCAGCUCAUUCAAAGCUAGCUUGUCAUGUACUUGAAGUAGAUCCAGGAGAAGGGGAUGAUACUAUAUAUACAUGAGGGGAGCCUGUUUUUACAAAGAGAAAUAUGUGGUGCAGAAUUUAAUGUUGGGGGUGAAUUUAUGAUCUCACUCCUAAGAAAGUUGCCCAAGACAUGAGAGCACUGAGAAGGCUACAUGUCGAUUCAAUGACAAAUACCUACCGAAUGGCACGAGAAAUUACAUAUUGUUUGAUACCUUCCAUUUUUUGAAAGAUGCACAUAGCCAUAGGUAGAGAUGGAAAAGAUGAUCCAGCUAGCAAGAUUUUAGGACCCUCAGUCUUACCACACUCGCUCGGAUGCCGCUAGUACUCCUACCAGAAACAACAACGCCAUGGCCAGCAUCAUCCAUAAGAUCGAGGAGAAGCUCCACACGGAGUAAAUUGCAAAAAACCAUCACAAUUGAGGACCCUAAUUCAGAAAACCUCUUUCGUUUUUUCCCUUCAAAUGGGGUCCGCUGUAAGUGGUGAUGUGCCACCGAAAUCUUGCGGUGUUUGUCCUGUACGGUAGCCUGCACAUGGGAUCCACACGUCGGCCUGUGCACUUCUUCCUUCCCCUCGAGCGCCGGCAGGAGAAAAAAACGACUGAGCGAGCUCUGACCGCGCUCCAGCAGUGUGCACGUACGAGUGGUGGUCACCGUCACCAUGCGCGUGUCAACUUUUUCUUUUCUCCUUCUCCUCUGUGCAUGGGUUCUUCGCUUGUUCGAUCUAAACUCUUCUUUUUAAUUUGUUUUUGCACUGCAGGUGAGAUGAAGGCUUGUGUGAAUUUGGAGCAUGUGGCAGCAUAUGUAUGCAAUGCGUGACAUGUCUCAUGGAUCUUGUGAUGGAAUAACCGGCUGCACUGCACUGCAAGGUGCUUGUAAUAAUAACGUUAAGGAAUCAUGUUCGUAUUGAUGUAUCUCCAUUGGUAAUUUGGUACCACCAUAUUGUCCAAGCUUUUUGUGUAUGUGGUGUCUCUGUUCAUCUUUGGAUCUCUCCGCCCGAGCGUGAUUAACAGCUGGGGAUUGUUUAGGAAUGGUUAUUGGUGUUCUGUUUCUCCUCCUUUCAGUUUCAGAACCUGUGUGGUGCUCUGUUUUCUUUUUCCCAGAGUUUUUGUUUGCAACUUUCCUCUGUUUUCCGCUUUCAGAUUUGGGCCCGGUAUUAAUUUUAGGAAUGCAAAAAUCAAAGUUAUUCCGUACAAGAGCCAACCACCACACGGUCUUCCUCUCUAUUUACUGAACACAUAUUGCAUCACAUUUGGGAUCAUCACCCAUGUUAUCAUCAAAAAGACGAUUCAGCACCCAUGCUAGAUUAGCUAUACUAAUUAAAUUGAGCCCCAUGUCAUUGCGGGCUAAUAUGGUGCUAAUUGAUGCUGCCAAGAGGUGCCAGGUAUCUUGACAGUUCUCCGAAACUAAAUAUUCAUGAUAGUUGAUCCGUCUUCGGCGGCAUGCCAUCCUCUUCUAACUGAACAUCUUCCAGCGUAUAGUCUUAAGCUGUCUUACGCAUAAGAAAAGGGUUAAUUCCUGAGGCCUCUCGUUUCUAGAUAGUGUAAUUAAUGCAUUGAGCAUUAGAUGAGAAGAUGAUAGAAAAUGGGAGAGUAACCCAUUCGAUUCAAACCUAGCUAGUCCAGUAGUGACAGGUCGAGGAGGGGGAGAGGAUAUUAUAUAGACAUGAGAGGAGAGGCUGCUUUUGUGAAGAUAUCUAGUGUAGAAUGGAACGUGGUGGGUGGAAUUCUGGUUUCAUAUCUGUCAUAGCUGCACAACCCAUGUGAGUUUUCAAAAGGCAACGACUCAAGAGAAAUGAAAGAUAGCCACGGUUGGGACCAGAGAUGUCACGUGAUUUGACGACCUCGGUUUUUCUAAAACAUGUACGUAGUCAUGGGAAGAGAGGAAAUAUGAGAUGAUGGCUCUUUUUGAAGAACCUCUCAGACUUAGUACCACACUAGAUGGAAUAUGAUAUACAACUAAAUCUGAAUCGUCGAUUGAUGGAGGGUUAGGCUCUCUCUUGCUGAAAAACAAUUUUGGGGUUAUUUAGUGCUUACUAUGCGUGCCACGUGGUAAUCGGGGCUAAUUUUCAUCUAAUCAAAAUCAUGUAUGUGAAACAGAGUUUUUAACUAUAGCGUAUAAUUUCAAAAGUUAGCAUCGACAUUUCCCAUAGUGGCAAAAUACACGAUCGAUAGUCAUAGAAGAUCGAAUGGCUUCGUUUCAGGUGAUCACCUCCACUCCACUUCCCCAUCUCACUUGCAUGCUGCUUGAUUCCCAUCCGCGUAACUCGUGCAUUACACAACCGUUAGUGCUCUCUUUAGGAUGGUGUAUUUCUAGUAUGUUUAUUCAUCUCGAAUAACAUUCACCACUGUAGAGAGGGCCAUCAACAUCUGAAGUGUUGUUGUUUAUUGUCAUUGAUCCAACCAAAAAAGGACGCGACAUUAUUGUUCAUGGUUAUGCAGGGAAAUAAUUUGGAUUUGGGCAUUGGGGAGGGGUGGAAAAAAUACAUUUCACUUGUCACACCAUGUUCAGAAUUGGCACCCAUGUUUUUUACAUAUCUUCACAUCCUAUAACCGAACCAAAAUCUCCAUCGCCUCCUUCUUCAAGUCAAUGAUUCAUAUUUGUCAAAUUGAGUGGACACAACAAAUCUUACAACAUAUAAGCAGUUUGUCUCAAGCGUCAAAUGUAUAUGGAUAUCCAAACCAAUAAGAAGACUCAUGACACACGCUUGAAUUUCAUCCUCCUGAACCGACCCAUGGCUAGGCAAGAACUCCCAAGUCAGAAGUGAUAAUGAUAUAUCUAGAACCCCGAGCCACCAAAGCAAUGGAACCGGAAUAAAGGCAACCAACAUCCACUUUAAUUUUAGCCCAUCUCAAUUAAGAGGGGGGGGGGAGCAAACUUGAUCACACUUCGUUCAGGGCAAUACAUAACAUGUCUAUCCAAGGGGCCUCAUUUUUUGGAGGGUGGGGGAGGGUAUGAGGCUAAUAAUAGAGAGAGAAUGAGCAAAAAAACACCACACAUAAGAUAGAACAAUCACAAUAUAUAAAGCUUAAGCAUAGCAUGCAGUGAUACUAUUGCGGCAACAAUAUACCUGGUGGGCGGCCGCGGCGCGGCGGCUGCGGCGGGUCAGAUCGGGCGGUGGUGGGCCGGCACGCCUCCGGCUAGAUCCGCGCGGAUUUGGUCCCUGGCAGUAGCGGACGUCGCGGGGUGGCGGCGCAGGUCCUCGUGGGCUCUGCAUCGAGGUGGAUUGCAGCGGUGGCUGCAACCACGUGGUCGGCCGGUCUGCGCGCGGCGGCGGCGGGACUUAGAUCCGGCGUCUGCUCGUCGGCGGCUUUCUCGGACGGCGACCCGUGUACGAGAGAUGGAGGUCUUCGAUCAGAUCUGGGUGAAAACCUGCUGUUGGCUAUUGCCAAGGCCGGCGAUGGCGACGCUGUCUGCAUCGUUCCCUUCCUGAAGGCAUCGUCGUGGAGAUGUUCAAGGCCACUCUCUGCUACCUCCGGGGGAAACCCUAGAUCAGUAGAUCGGAUGACGGCGGCUCUCUGGUGUCGUUUUCCCCCCUGGGGGCGUCAUUCUUGGAGGUGCACACGGGCUCGAGGGACUAGAGGACGGCGACUUUGGUGGAGCGGUGCUUCAUCUUUCACAUUGAUGGUGGCGGAUCUCGGCGGCAUGGUGCUGUGGAGACUCGGCGUCUGAUGCGCGGAGAUGGACUCGUGCAGGAGGAGGAAGCUGUCUGGCGUCAUGGGGACGUCGAUGGCAGAGUGGCCAGACAAGGUUGAAGCCUCAAUAUGAUAUGAAGACGGACCUGUGGAAGAUGGCGGCGACGACACACGAGUGCGUCUGACCGGAUUGUGCCCCAGACCCGGUAUGUGGCUCGGCUGGGGCUUCCGAAUGAGUUUCGGCUUCCGGCUUUUGAUGUUAGGCUUAGGUGAGUGGUUUGGGUAGUGGCCCAGCUAGCACCCCCUCAUCAUUUUGGAUAGGAGUAGCGACAUAUGUUGCCAAGAUGGUGGUUUCAGACACAUUGUUGUAACACUUUGUACGGUCCUCGAGUAUAAUCAAUAAAGUGGCCGCAUGCAUCUCCCAGAUGCAGAGGCCGGGGGUCAUCCUCCUUUUCUAAAAAAACAAAAAAAAAA
rnacentral:lncRNA from 1 species